rnacentral:rRNA from 1 species
GAUGAACGCUGACAGAAUGCUUAACACAUGCAAGUCCACUUGAAUUUGGGUUUUUAACUUAGGUUUGGGUGGCGGACGGGUGAGUAACGCGUAAAGAACUUGCCUCACAGCUAGGGACAACAUUUGUAAACGAAUGCUAAUACCUAAUAUUAUGAUAAUAGGGCAUCCUAUAAUUAUGAAAGCUAUAAGCGCUGUGAGAGAGCUUUGCGUCCCAUUAGCUAGUUGGAGAGGUAACGGCUCACCAAGGCGAUGAUGGGUAGCCGGCCUGAGAGGGUGAUCGGCCACAAGGGGAAUGAGACACGGCCCUUACUCAUACGGGAGGCAGCAGUGGGGAAUAUUGGACAAUGGACCGAGAGUCUGAUCCAGCAAUUCUGUGUGCACGAUGAAGUUUGUCGGAAUGUAAAGUGCUUUCAGUUGGGAAGAAACAAAUGACGGUACCAACAGAAGAAGUGACGGCUAAAUACGUG